rnacentral:lncRNA from 1 species
GGGCACCGCGCUCAUGAUGGGCAGUACCACCGAAACUGUACUGUACCUGGGCGCUGUCCAGCAGCUUCUUAGCGGUGUUACCUGAAAUUACAACGCGCUCUUCUGGGAGGUGUCGCCUGGACAGUUGCACCGCGUUCCGGAGUGCUGCCAACUUGACAUCUACAUCGCGCUUCCAGAAGCGCGAUGCCCAGAUGAGGUCGCCUAAAACUGCAACGCACUGCUGGACGAUGUCCUCUGAAGAUGUUUUGCACGAAGAAUCAAAAAGACAACAAUUUUGAAAUGUCUAUUCAAGAGUUAAUGAAAUAUUAAAUUGGCAAAAAGAAAUGGGUAAGUGAAUAUUGGUAUAAAGUUUCAGCAUUACAGUGUUCAAACACUUGUAACAUGAGUUUAACCAUAAUAAUAUUUAUUAAUAUGCAAUAUUAAGAGGAUGCACAAAUUAAACUUUAUCAAUACAAACUUGAACGAGAAGGACGCUAAAAAGAAAUAUUUAUAAAAACCUGGCCAAAUGCUGAAUAUAGAACCCAAUAAAUGUGUUGAAUGCAAUGACAAAUAGAUCAAUACAAAAAAAGAUGGUUUGAGAAAAUAACGAUGGAUGAACUACGAAGAUUGCAACGAAUUGAACUAAGAAGACGCAGUGAAAUUUAAGAUCCAAAUACCGAAAUGAGGAUGAUCUCGAUAAAACAAGAUUGAAGACCCCCAAAUUAAGAUAGCAAAUCAUUACAGAAAAAUAUAUGUAACAGAAAGAAAACGAGGAAACAAAUGAAAUGAGGAUGAUUAAAGAAUAUUGAAGAAGCAUAAUCAUUUAUACAUACAACCUACAUGUACAAAGAAUAUUUAAAUUUUAAACAUGGAUAAAAAAGAAGACAACAUUGAAGAAAACAGACUGAAGCCGUCGGAGAAGAAAGAAGACGGAAGACGUCGGAGAAGAAAGAAGACGGAAGACGUCGGAGAAGAAAGAAGACGGAUGACGUCGGAGAAGAAAGAAGACUAAAGACGUCGGAGAAGAAAGAAGACCGAAGACGCCGGGGAAGUAAGACGACUAAAGACUUGCGUGAAGGAAGGCGAUGGUGUAAAAAUAAGGUCGAUAUCUUAGGCGAAGAAAGAAGGCUGGAGACAUAAGCGAAUUAAGAAGUUUCUAGACCUGGGUGAAAAAAGGAGUCUGGAGUCGGAAAACUGGACCAAAAAAUUGUGGGUGUCGUAAAACUUAAUGAUGAUAAAAAAUUACACUGAAGACUUUGAUACAAAGAAGACUGAAGACUUGGGUGAAGAAAGAAGACUGAAGACUUGGGUGAAGAAAGAAGACUGAAGGCUUGGAUGAAGAAAGAAGACUAAAGGCUUGCGUGAAGGAAGAACACUAGGGUGAAAAAAUAAUACUGAAGACUGAAGACUUGGGUGAAAAAGAAGAAUGAAGACUGGUACAAAAAGGACUGAAGACUUAGGUAAAAGAAGAAGACUGAAGACUUGGGUGAAGAAAGAAGACUUGAAGGCUUGGGUGAAGAAAGAAAUUGCGUGAAGAAAGAAGACUGAAGACUUGGCUGAAAAAAGAAGACUGAAGACUUGGGUGAAGAAAGAAUACUGAAGACUUGGGUGAAAAAAGAAGACUGAAGACUUUCGUACAAAGAAGACUGGAGACUUAGGUACAAAGAAGCCUGAAGACUUGGGUGAAGAAAGAAAA